CGAAGGUUGCAGCAGAAGGUAAAGUAAAAUCAGAUUUUUAUUUGUUCUUUGAUGUGAAUGAGAGUAAAGAGAUAGAAUAAAUAAUUGCAGCAGUUGAUAACUUUGAUAAAGUCAAUUUCUAGAUGCAUGAUGAGGAGGUAAAUGAAGGGUUUUAUAGUAAACCUUUGUUUGAGAAAAGUACUAAUAAAGGCCCCUUGAUUAGAGAUUUUGAUUUCUAGUUAGGGGAUGUGGAAUUUGAGUCUCUUGAUUAUUAUACUAACACUGUUUUCAGUGAAGGAAACCAGGUUUCAGUAGUAGUAUGUCUUCCAAAAGACAUUGAAAUAGUGAAAAUUCAUAAAGGAGAAGUGGAAGGAGAAGGAAAAGGUAACACAGCAAAUGAGGUAAGGGAAGAUAUUUGUUUUGUUGAAGGAGAAGGUAUGAAUUCAGUUGUUUAUUCUGAUUUUGAUAGACUAUGUUGGUGGGAAGUCCAUUUUGAUACUUCGAAUGUUAUGAAGGGUAGAAGUAAUAUUGUGAGAUUGCAGAAAGUAUUGAACAUGAGAAUUUUGGUGGACAAAGAGGAGAGAUGGAUCCAAGACAGGCAUAGGGGCCAUAAAUGCUUUCGACUUUAACUCAGAAUACAUUUUCUUUUCAUGCAGGGCAUCCACGUGGAGGAGAACUCCAAGUUUGAAUUUUCAAAUUUGCUUCCUGUAGGCAUGAGACUGUGGGUGUUUAUGUUUUUUUGUCAGGCUUGAAUCCCAAAUGCUAGUAGUGAUUUUGAAUCUUUGGACUGAUUUUGGAAACUUUGUUUGGACAUCCUACCAGCCCAUACACAAAAUGGAAGCAUCAGUUAUUUUGAAUUAAAUAGAUGCAAACUAUAAUGGGUAUGUGUAGUGAAUAAAUUAGGGGAAAAUGAAGCCACAUGGGAAUGUGGCUUAGAAAUAAAGGAGGAAGUGUAAUAGAGGGAAAAGUAAGGGCAUCGAAUGGCAGAAUGUGACAAAGCUGCAAACAGGGAGAAGGGGUAUGCUGCGUAGCAAGGAAGAGAGGGGACAACUGCAUAUAAAUUGCAAAACCUGUAUAUAGGGCAUAAGAGAGGGGGAAGUGCUUUUGGAUUGCAAAGAGAAAGAGUAUAGAGAGGAUGUGAUCAAACUAUUGGGGGAGUGAAAAAGAGAACAAUAUUGGACCUACGUACAGCUAGAAGGGUGUGAAGGCAAGGUGCAUGGGAAUUCGAGAAUAUAAUGCUGCAUGGAAGACAUAGGAGUGGAGAUAUGAAAUGUGUGCAACAGUAAAUUUGCAUAGUUUGUUUCCAUUAUAAGGUAGAUUAGAGAAGGCCAUUGACAGUCCAAUAAAUGUAACUGUUUUGUUGCAGAUUAGAUGAAUAAUAUUAUUCUUGUUUGCAGAGAGUCUCUGCCAGUGCUUUGUUGUUUUGUCUUUGAGUUUGAGUUCAUAGGCAGGUGUGUUUUGUAUUGCAUCAAUGUUUGUCCUAGAAUGGAGCAGGCCACUCACCUGGGGAGCAAAGAGGAAGAACACCUCAGAGAGGAGGGACCUAGAAUCCAUAACUCCCAAAAGCCAACACUAAAUCACCAACACAAGAGUAGCUGCGUCCUGAGAGAACCUCACACCAUUGACCUUCAUCAUUCACCAACACAUAGCAGGGACGUGAGCAUCUCCCAUGUCAAGAAAUGUAAGCAGAAUGCCAAAAACCAAAGACCAAACGCCAAGAUUUGAAGACAAUGCACCAAAAAACAAGCACAAGGAUCCCACCAAAGAUUGGGGCUUUGAAAAUUGCUCCAACCCAAGGCAUAGGGAAGAGGAGAAAGGCUCAUGAAGGGCUUCCAAUGAAGCAAAAAAAGCCAACAUGGUCCAAAACCCUUGCACCAAAAGUGGCCAAAAGUAGGAAAUAGACAGCAAAUACACUGCCAAAUCCAAUCAAUCUAUUGUCCUCCAUCCUAGCCACAGUAGCAACAAUGCCAUCGGAGCCUAAAAAUUCUCCGUCCUUGUCUCUUCCCAUGGCCCCAUAGACCAAUCUGUAAAAGCUUAUGAACAAAUUGCCUAUGACAGAAAUAGAGGUCAUUGGACAAGUCAUAAAAAUGCCUUUCUGCCAUGCAGACGAGGCAGGCAACCAUGAAAAACCUCCAAGGGAUAAGGGCGCCACACAGCUCCCCCCGGACCUGAUCUGCAACAGCUGUUGCAUCCUCAUCAUUAUCAUUGCUCGCUUCCCCCUUUGCAACCCCAUUGCUGUUUGAAACUCUACCUCUACUCCCGUUCCCGCUCAUCGUUCCAUACAUGCUUUGAUCAACAUUACUAGAAUAAAUUUUUUUCAGAUGUUAUUAUCGACAUUUUGAGUAUUUGAUCAUGCUAUUUGGUUUGACUAAUGCAUUGACUGCUUUCCAAUCCAUGUUGAAUCAUGUAUUUAUUGGUCUAUUGGUCUAUUAGAGGAAACUAGUUUUAGUAUUUUUUGAUUGUAUUUUGAAUCUUUGAUAUAUAGCAAGACAUGGGAAGUUCAUUUGAGGCACCUAAAUGGACUCCUUGAAAUUUUAGAGCAAAAGCUCUAUUUGUGAAAGAAUCUAAGCAUGAUUUUGUGGCCAUAGAGCUUUUAUGCUUGGGCCAUGUCAUUAGUAUUCAAGAUGUGCAAGUGAAUUAGGAGAAAAUUCAAGCAUUUUGGAUUGGCCACCCCUACCACACUAACAUAGUUGAGAGGAUUCUCUAGUUUAUCUAGCUACCAUAGAAGUUUCGUUAAGGGGUUUGCACAACUAUCAACACUCUUCGACUAACAUGACAGGGAAAGGAGCUUUUGCAUGAUCAAUAAAAUACAAGAAGCUUUUGAUAAUCUAAGGAAGUAAUUAGCUCAUGCCCUAUACUUGCCAUACCAAACUUCUCACAAUCUCUUAUUGUAAAAUCUAAUGCUUUAGGAGAGAGAGUUGGAGUUCUAAUGCUAAAGAGCCAUCUCAUUAUCAUUUGAGAGUAAAAAAUUCAAAGGUUCAAAAGGGGCUUUUCUAUUUAUGAUAAGGAGAUGCUUGCCAUUAUGCAUGCUUUGUCAAUGUUCAAAUACUAUCUUGUUUAUGGUAGAUUUGUAGCUAAAACAUACCACAACUACUUGAAGUUCAUCUUGGUUUAGUGAGACCUGAAUGAUAGGCAACAAAAAUGAGUAAGCUCCAAGCUUACAAUUUUGAUAUAGGUAGAAGAAUACAAUUGUUGAUUCCAUUUCUAGAAUGCACACUCUUUGGUCUAUUUCUAACACUUUUGCUGAUUGGAAGGUUUUUAUCAUGACCAAAUAUGCUAAGAACACAUUUUCUUUUGAAAUCUUAGAGGGGAGUGUGGAAGAUGAUAGGUAUACAACAGUAGAUAUUCUCAUUUUGCAUAAGGACAGAAUAAAUUUAAUACCUAAAUCUAAGAUGAAUGAGAAGAUUUUGAAAGCAUAGCAUGGUUCACCUUUGGCUGGUCACCUUAAAUUCUACAAGACAUACAAGUAGAUUAGGGAAAGGUUCUCUUGGAAGUGCCUUAAGGAUGAUGUACUUUGCUACAUCAAAGAGUGCACAACCGAUUAACAAAACAAGUUAGAACAUGUUUUUCUUGUAGGAUUAUUGCAACCAUUACCUAUUCAAAUCACAAGUUGGAGAGUGUAUCUAUGGGCUUCAUCAUAGGCCUUCAUAAGUUAAUGGCAGGGACUGUAUUAUGUGAUUAUGAAUAGAUUAACCAAGUAUGCACACUUCUUUGCCAUUCUUGCAGAUCUUAGAUGACAUUGGGUAGCUGAUUUAUUUUUCAUAGAAGUGUUUAGAUUACAUGGCUUGCCUAAGAACUAUGCUAGUGAUAGAGAUAGCAAAUUCCUCAGCCUUUUUUGGCAAGGGUUGUUUUGUUUGACUAAUACUAAGCUUACUUCUAAUACUAGUUAUCAUCCAUAGACAAAUGGUUAAACAAAGAUAGUGAAUAAGUAGGUUGAAGGAUACUUAGAAAAUUAUGUCACAAACCAGCAGGUGGCAUUGGUCAAGUGGUUGCACCUUCGAGAGUAUUACUAUGAUACCACCCAUCACAUGUGUAUCAGCACUCCAUUUAUGGCAUUAUAUGGAUAUGACACAUUGCCUAAGUUACUGGGUUCGCCCUUGGACCCCCUUGGUACCGGUCCUGGAUCGAAUGGGUUCCUAGUUUGGACUGGGUUCGACUAGGGUUCAAAAAACCUAGAGGUGGUUCGUCCCUGGUCGAACCCAAGCGAACUCGGGUCGAACCCAGUCGAACCUAGGUCGAACCUAGUUGAACCCGAGUUGAACCUAGGCAGCUGGGUGGCCCAAAAAAGCAAAUUAUAUGCAAAAUUUAAUUUUUUUUUGAAUUCCGCCUGCUAAAAAGUGAAACUUAUACCCUAAAAGUGACUUCUAAAAAACAUUAUGUUCACUCAUUUCACCUCUAAAAGUGGCAUUGGCUCAUCUAAUGUCAAUGUCAAUGAGGAGGAGGAGGAUGAAUUAGAUGAUCCAUUUGAUGAUUAAACUUUAUAUUGUUGAAAGUUGAAACAAUGAUACUUGAAUAUUUUGUCAUUUUGAUAUUAAACUUGAUGUAUAUGAUGCUAUUAUGGUAUCAUCACGAUGCUAUGAUUACAAGCUUAUGUUUGUUUUGUUGUUUAUAUGAUGCUAUGUGACAUGCAAAUUUUAAUUCAUGCUUAUAGGCUUGACAAAUAUCAAAAAAUCUAUAUAUAUAUAUAUAUUAAAUUUACAUGUUUUUGUACUAACGAACCCAAAUGAACCCAAACCCCUUUUCAAAAUUUUGCCGUACCAGUGUAUCGGGUUCUUCAAACCCGAACUGAUGCCCGAACCCGAACCGGUAACUUAGUUAAUUUGGUGUUUAUUAACGAGGUACCAGCAUCUAGUGAUUUGGUGGGACAUAGUUGAGACAUUUUGAGGUCACUUAAAAAUCAUUUGCAGCAGGCCCCAAAUUAAACAAAAAAUAUGUGCGAACCAAUACUAUAUUGAGAGAUCAUUUAAGAUAUCUGCAUCUACAAGCUUAUAAAUAGAUUUCCAUUAAGCGAGGGGGGGAUUAAAAGCUCAAGUUUUGAGGACAUUAGAUGAAGUGGCCUAUGAAUUGGAGUUGCUAGCAGGUAAUUGGAUUCACAAUGUUUUCCACAUAUUUUGCCUCGAGGGCAUUGAGCCAACAUAUUUGACCAUUAGUUGAUCUACAACCCUUGGAUGAUGAGUAGAAACUUAUAUUGGUAUUGGAUUCCAUCAUUGAUAUAUUGGAGAAGAGUUAGAAGGAUAAGGCCAUCACAUAGUACUUGGUCUGUUGGAAGGGCCUCCCUAUAGAGGAUGCUACUUGGGAGAGGCCAAAGAUAUUUGAAUGCCUAAUGGGCCCUUUCCAUUUAUCCAUCUUAUAGUGUACCGUAAGCCCAUUUUAUUAUUUUCUCAAUGGUUCGGAGGAAAAAAUAUCUUUAAAGGAGGGGGGGGGGUUACAUUUGGGAAAACUAGCAGUAACAAAUAUUGUUAGUUUUUGGUAGUGCAUAAUGGGAGAUAAAUUUUUUUUCAAAGAGGGCAGUUAUGUUGUCAGAGUGGGGCAUUGAGUUAUGGUUGUAUUUUGAUUUGAACAGCAUUUGCUAUUGUAGGAAUGUAGUUAGUUUAUGGAAGUUCUAGGAUUUUGGCCCUCCUUUUUGCCAUAAAAUGUGGCAUUAGACUAUUAGAAGUCUCUUCCAUUUUGCUUUGAUAUUUCUGUGCUAGUGUUUUGUAACCACUUUCAAAAUGAAAUUUCUUAAAUCUUGAAACUGGAGGACAAAUAUUCAUUCUUUAGCUUCCUUCAGCAGACUCAUCAGGGGCCUGCAACUGUGCUGAAGAUGUACUCUUUCUUGAUUUUUGGCUUGUGCUUAGUGGUCUGUCACUGCUGUACACAGUGUACAAGUUAAUCAGUUUUAGCAAAUUGUUUGCAGGUCAUUGCAUGUUUUGCAGGUUUGGCAUAGUAGCAUGAUGUUAUCUAUGUAAUCCAAUUUUAUUUUGUCAGUAAAAUACGAUAUUUCAAUAUGGUGUGUUGUUUAUAAAUUCAAGUUUAGUUAGUUAUAUUGUAGAGGUUAUUACAAUAACCAAGAUCUUUCUUCUAAUUUCUGGUGUAAUUUUUCUGGUUGAAACGUUUACAAAUGUGCACACAUGUGGAAAGCCAAAGAUUUGUUUGCUAAAAUUAUUGUUAGUGGCAAAGUGGAUUUAUAUUGUAAUUUUGCAAUUUUGUGAUAUUUACAAAGGCAGUCAAAAAGUCUGACAUUGAAGUGUAAGCUUGCAGAGAUGAGAAGUUACGAUGCAAUUUGGCAGUUUUUAUAAAGCUACAUGUGAUAUGGAAAAUUCCAAAUGAUACAAAGGAAACGAGAUCUCAUUGAAGGUCCUAUACCCUAUUUGAAUUCACAGUUAUUGCAUUCUACUAGGUGUUACACCAUUGAUCAUUUUUUAUAUUUGCCAAGAAUGUUGUGUUAGGAAAUACUGGAAAUGUACGUGAGCAUGACAAGGAGAGGAAAGUCACGGAGUUAGUUGAUGUUUUUGUGAAAACUUAAGGAGAGGUAGACUUAUGGACUUCUCUAUAGCUUUGUGAGCUGCACAACAAUCUUGAAAUCCAAGUUCCUUAUCAUCAUGUGGACUUUUGGACUUUUGUUACAGUUUUGUAAUUUUUACAAAUGUGCAUUGUAACCUCAAAAUCUUGUUUAGUGUUGAAGUGGUGGGGUACAGGGGAUUUGCUGCAGUUUUGUAAUGUUCACAAAUGUGCACAAAAGUUAUGGAAACCUGCAAUUUAUAUAAAUGAUGGAGAUUCAAGUUACAUGUGUAAUCCAAAAUCCUGCAAUUGAGUUAUAAGCUGCAUAUACAAUUGAAAAUACCACUCGUGAAGAGUUAAUGUGCUGACACAACUCAAAAGCCUGGAAAUGAAUGAACUUGCAAACAAAUUCAAAACCCCACCAUUUGUUUGAAAGAAAGUCUAAGAGAGAUAUGCUCCAACUGAAUGGUCUGAAUACAGGAUAAGCAGGCCCCCCUGGAGAAUCCUCUACAUUUCUUGACAAUUGCAGACCUUCUUUGUUGAGAAAAUACUGUCACAUGAAAGCUCACACAGCAACAAAUGUUGCAAUCGAAGAAUCUGCAUUAAGACAGGUAUCAAGCAAUCUAUUGGAUAAUGCAUUGUUAUGAACUUAUGGGUGCCUGCUGGAAGCUGGGUUAAAGUUGAAGCUAUUGAAGUCCCACGAAAUGGUGUUCUUAUUGUGAUUGAUGACAGUGGACCUGAUAUGAGUUUAAUGACUCAAACUGAAUCCAUAGUGCUGUUUGGAUCUAACCUCUCUUCUUGAAAGUAUAAUUGUAGAUAGUAUUGCAUGGAACUCUGUGGCUGGAAUUGCUAUCGCUCAAACAAGAACAGCAAAUGCACAAAGUAGAUUUGUUGAAGGUUUUAGAAACUGUAACGAAAAUGCAAUUGGUGGGUGUAAAAUCAAACCCCACAACCUUUUGCUAGCAUCUUACCUGCCUGUGCUCAUGCUCAUUAGGAGUUUUUGAACAACAUAUAGACAUUGAUUGAAGCAUAAUAAAAAAUGGAUGUAAGUUCAGACAUUAUAGCUGCAACCAGUGUGUUAGAACUUAGAAUAUGUAAAAUGUGGAAAUUUAGACAAAACAUGUAAAUUGUUUCAUAUGGCUGCAAAAUGUGGAAGCACGGCCAUGAUAGUGAGCAAACUGUUUGACAAAAUGCCUUUAAAAAUGUAUAGCAUAUUGUGUGUAACAUAAACAUCAAUUGAAGCUUGAAAAAUGGGAACAACAUCAUAUGUUACAGUUGCAAGUGUCCUUGUAGAUAUACAUGUGAAAUACAGAAGUAGAGAUAAGACACACGAAUUGUUCGAGAGGUGUGUAAAAUGUGGAGUUACGUACAAGGGAUGUAAACUUUUUACUGAAAUGUAGGAUGCUAGAUGAGAGCACGGACAAGGCAUGUCAAUGGGUUAACAUGUGUACAAAAUAUGAAAACACACACGACACCUGAAAUAUUUGACAUAACUUCUUCAGAGAUUUUGGGUUUUGUUGAAUGCACUGGUUGUAAGAUACUCACAAAAUUUGUAUGUUGACUUGUCUUUAAACUGACCAAUGGACAUUUGCCAGCAUAGUCCUAGCUAAUUCCCAAAUGGAAGCUUUAGUGCAUAGUAUUCAAAAUGUUAAAGCAUAGACGAGACAAAUCAACUAUUUGACAGAAUGCCUUCUCAUAUACAUGUGCAAAAUGAAUCUGUUAAUGAAUGCUUGGAGUUAGGUACAAGGGAUGUAAACUUUUUACUGAAAUGUAGGAUGCUAGAUGAGAGUAUGGACAAGGCAUGUCAAUGGGUUAACAUGUGUACAAAAUAUGAGAACACACACGACCUACUAUUUGACAUAGCUCCUUGAGAGAUUUUGUGUUUUGUUGAAUGCACUGAUUGUAAGAUACACACAAAAUGGGUAUGUUGACUUGUCUCUAAACUGACCAAUGCACAUUUGCCAGCAUACUCCUAGCUAAUGCCAAAUGGAAGCUUUAGUGCAGAGUAUUCAAAAUGUGAAAGCAUAGAUGAGACAAAUCAACUGUUUGACAGAAUGCCUUCUCAUUAUACAUGUGCAAAAUGAAUCUGUUAGUGAAUGCUUGGAGUGCAGGGAAGUUUUGAUUUCAAAAUUUGGGGCACGCACUCUAAUUCUCCAGCUAGAGUACAAUAUAGAGCUUUUGAGCUGAUUGAAACCAUGAAGGAAGAUCAGGCGUUCAAAUUUUGAGAAUGCAUACUUGGUUCGUUGUGUUCCUGCAUAUAAAUGGUUUCAAUUUUCAACAUCUAAUGUGUAAUAUAAUGCCAUACUACAAAAAAUUGUUUCAGGUGAAAAUUGAUGGGGUCAUGAUGAAUCAAACAUAGUGGUCCUUGUUUAGAAGUUUGGAAGUAAAGAGCAGGCUAAGGAAUAUGUCAGACCAGGUCCUUUUGGUUGCUUUUGAGAUUAUUUAUCUGAAACAUUUUGGUCCGUACUACAACAUGUGCUAUUUUGAAUAGUAAGAUCUGGUCUGUCCUAAAGACUGAGAAUUAUAUACUUGUCACGUACAGAGAAAACAGAAAUGAGCUUCAAGUUUGUCAUAAUCAAAUCUGAAUUAACACCACAAAAUCUUGCAUGAUCAUGUCAGUGUUAAAGAUGCUGAAAUAUGAUUAUUGCAAGCAGCCAAAAUAUAUCUGUUCAAAUUUACUCAUACAUUGCAACAGUAUGUAUGGGCGAAAAACAUAUAAUGAAACAGAGAUCGUUCCAACUGAGCCCACAAAGGAUACCUUAAAACUUCUCGUCUCCUAAACCAGACAAAAUAAAUGCUUUUGUUUGUAGCUCCCAGAUUUUUGGGUAAUUUUGAGUUUUUUCAUCAGAAAGAAUGAUGCCGAGUAAGAUACUAUUCAGUUAGCCCUAGAUAAGCUGGUUACAAUUGCCAACUGCAAAUGAGUUCUUAUGAUGAGAGAUGAAGUGAUCAUGAUGGAGAAGAAUGGGAUGACAGAGCAUAGCCUAGUGUUUGCACAUGAUCCAUUUGACAAACUGCUUCUAAGAAAUGUAAUCUUGUGAACUGCUAUGGUUGCAAAACAGAAUGGUUAUAUGAAAGCUUGAGAUGGAGGUGCUGAAAAGAAGACAUAUGAUGAUUUAGAUUGAUCAGCUGCAAAGAAGCCAUCUUGUUUGUAAAGUAGAGCAGAGGACAUGAUGACUUUAAUAAAGUAUUUUAACAGUACUUUUAUCAUGCCUUCAAGUCCUUUUAUAAAAGAUGGAUCAAAAAGUCAUUUUAUUAACGUUUUGAUAUAUAUUAAUUUUAAGUGACUUUUUAUAAUAUUUUAAUUGUUUACAAAUACUUUUGCUCAUACAAGCAUCAACAUGAGAUCAAUGCAAGCUCUUGCGAGCACAACCAUGAGACUAAUAUUAGCUCCUUUUGAGCAACAACACUAGAAACCAUGCAUGGAAUACCAAGAGUCACAUAAAUCCACUUAUUUAGAUAACACCUCCAUAUUAGAAGCCAACUAUGGAAGACCAGGAGUCAAACUUAGAAUUCCAUAUUAGAUGCCCAUUGGGAGUUGAACUUGGUUCUCCACAAUGAGAACUCAAUGCUUUAACCAAUUAAGGUCAAUCCCUCGAACUUAAGUGACUUUUGAAAAGUGUAUAUAUUGUAAUGUGUAAAGUUACUUUAUUUAAAAAGAACUUUAUUAGUUUGAAUUAUAUUUUCCUGAAAUCCCUAGCAAACAAAAUGUUAACUGUUCUGUCUUUAUAAAGGGCUGUCAUGUAAUCAUUAUGAGACAUUUUCCAAAUUUUCAAGACUUUGUACAUGAAACAAACAGGGAAGACUUUUUGCAUUCUUUCCGAAGAAAUCAGAAGACAUUGCAAAUGUUUGUUUCUCUCAUUCUUCAUGAAAAUUUGUGCUGCUUUUGAGUUCAAUGUGAAAUUCGUUUCUUAGACUUUUCUUUCUUUUUUGUUUUUGUUUUGUGCAACGUGCAAACUAGUUAAUCUUCAUUCAUUUGUUAAUGCUGUAUGUGGUAAUUGAACUCUGAAUUUUUAUUUAAUUCCACGUGUAUCUUUAGUUUUCCAUUCUUUCUUGAGUAACCCUUAUGGUUCCCUGCAUUUAAUCCAUCUAGGGUUGCUCCUUUCUCCCUUUCCUUUCAUUUUCUAUUUUGUGCCCUCUUUGUACUUCCUGGUUAGAAGUACUAAAAACAACAAAAACUUCAAUCAUAUGAGGGAGCUGACCUCUCAAAUGCAUAGGAAGAUCACCUAUCACAUGGUUGUUUCUUCAUUUGUUGCACUAUCCAUUGCUGGAGUCAAGGGGAUAAUCACAAAUACCACAGCAAACAGUUUACUUGCUAACAAGUUGCCAAUGCUCUCCAAGGAAGAAGGAAAAGCCAAAUGUGUAAGGGCAGAUUAGGCAUUCUUACCCAAAUCGGAACAAUCUUAAAAUUUUUGGUUUAAGGAUUAAAACCUUGGUACUAGAGUUUUACAAAAAGAGAAGCAUUCCCUCAAGCUGGAUCCUUUGCCAAAAUGUAGUUUCUACCUGCUACAGAUUCACAAACUAUAAUGAAGAUGCCUUGGACAUAUGGAUAAAUAACAAUAGGUUCCACAAGAAAGGGUUUCCAAGAAUUAGUUAUCCAUUGAUGUAAUUCGGGCAGAUUGGACCAAAGAUUGUUGGACUUGCCUAUCAAAGUCAAUUUUGAGUAAUGCUCAGCUUCCUCUAUGAUUGCAUCGUCUAGUAGUAGGAGUGGAAUCUUCUAUGCUAAUUUUAACAUCUACACCAAGCUCCCUUUCUUGCCACGUAGAGCUUUCUCUGAAGAAAAAAGCGUCCCACCCUCAGAAGGGCCAACUGUUAUAGGAUGACGACCUUUAGCUUUCUCCCCAUCACCAAUUUCUGAAAAUGUUUGCACAGAGCCUCCAUUUUGGAACAAGGGCCUACAUCUAGCCAAAGACCCAUCCACAUUCUUUUUCUGCGGGUCAUCUGAAUUUUGCUGCCCACCCAUGAUAAGAGAAUAACAUAAACCUUCAGAAAGGAGCUGCUUUUUGUAAGGGUUAAGCAGAGCAACUUUCCUGUCAGCUCCAUCAUGCACAAUAGUUGAGAAUUUGGAAGUUCCACUUUAAGAGCUUAAUGCAUGCACAGUGGCAUCUGUCUUGCUCCCUUAUUGCUGCAGUUGUAGUCUGCUGGUAUAUUGAUUUCAGAAUACCAUUAUGUGCUGUUAGCUGUCAAUUGUCAACAUACAUUUCUAUUUUCCUUGCAGGUUUCACAGGGAAAUUUCUCUUUUAGGGUUUUAACCAAAGAAACUGCAUGAAUUUUGGCUUCAGGAUACCAAACUCUUUCAUGUUUGGUUUUGUAGUUUAACCUCCAUUCUGUCAACUUGCCCCCAAGCCGGUGUUCAUGUUUAUAGCUUAAUCAUCAUAUUGUAACCUUGUUCGUAGAAUACUUGUCACUACCUAGCAUAACAUGUAAUGUUCAACUACAUUAAUUCUUUACCAGGUUCAAGAUGAGUUUUGACCUGAGCUGUAAAAGUGAGAUGAAAAUUGCACAUGCAAGGAAGGUUGCACUCUUGAGUACAACCUGUCAAAUGAACUGGCCAUCUUUCCCGCACCCAUGAAGUUGAUUGAAGUUUUCGAAUGAACACCUCUUUGAAAGGAAAUGGAUAAGAUUGUUCUCAUUUGAGAUCCUAUAAGGUGGAAUUUUCUCUUGCAUUGGGGAUCCACUGUCGACGGAAUAAGAAGUAUGCUUUCUACUUUGAUUGCAAUGUGAAACAUAGCAGAAAGGAUUCUUUGGUCCUGCCUGAUAGGAAGACAAAUUACAUUUUGCAUUGUUAGAGAUUGGGUCUUUAUGUCUUGCCAUCAAACUUCUGUGCUCACUUGACUCAUCAUACAAAUUUCGAUAAGGAUAUACUUUUCCCAAUGACAGUAGCCUGAGCCCACUUUUCCAUGCCCUCAAGCAAUCACUUUAAUUAAAUGACUGUGAAAUAUAUUUUUGUUAAGACAAGGUCAAUAAUACCAAUAUACAAAAUAAUUACCCUGAAUUACGAUCAAAUUGUUCAUGCACAUGCAGCAGGAGAGCAUGAAAUCAAAUGAAUGCAGCCUUGUGGACUGGGUGCAAUUGUUUUUUUUGCAGCUUAAAAUAAAUUCUUGUCCUCAUCUAAGAAUUGACUCAAUUGCGUUUGUUCAAAUGUUCCUCUCAGCAUUGCUCUGUUACGGAGUCUGCCAAAUGUGGAAGCUCCAGAAAAGGUUUAGUUCCAACAAUGGUAUGGUUGUAGGCUUAUGCAGCAUCAUUAUGGCAGGUAAACUCUUUUGGAACACAUGCUUGAGGAAGGUACAAAACCAAUUCAAAUCACCUCCUUUGCUGUUCGUGUUGCAUAUAGUCUUGCAGGGCUUGUAGAUGAAAGUAUGCAUUGUAUUGAUUCCGAGAGACUGCAUGAACUUGCAUUUCCAAAUUAAUUUUCAUUUUAUUUUUUCGUCUUAAUAGCUUAUUCUUUUCUUGUCUUUACUUGAAAUACAGGGAGGAAUUGCUUUGGUCGUAUAAUGAGCAUUAUGUAUCCAAUGUGGAGUAGCAAAUUUCUUACAAUUUCUGCCACUAUUUUGUUUACAUCUCUGUUACCGGGUCCCACGAGAACCUUAGCCAUACCUUGACUGGUCUGAACUGGGUUUUGAUCCUGGUCCAGGUCUAGCUUGAGUUUGCCAAGGAUCCUACCUCAGACCUUUGCAUUUGGUCUGAAUAGGACAUUAUGGAAUCCUGCGUGAAUGCCCUUGGUUCAAAACAAAACCAUCUUUAGUAAGGGGGAAAAGCCAAAUGAAAAAAAAAAUUAAACAGCUUCUUUUCGUAGUCAAGGUAAAGGAUGAGGGACACAAUGCUGGUAUAUAGGUUCUCCUGUGUAGCGCAGAUUUUGGGAAUGUCACUGAUGCUGCUUCCACCAGACCAACCAAUAACGUUGAUGCUCUCGAUGAAGAGCAAAAUAAUGGAUUGUAUUGAAUUUCCAUGAUCAUAUCGGUUAAGCCGACUUGCAAGCUUCGUCCGAUGGAUUGUUCUCACCACAGAUGAUUGUCUUGAAGCUUGUCAACCAUAACUGAAGCAUUAGUCGCAGAUGCGUCAUUUGUAUGAUUUUUGGCUUUUGUAGGAGAUGCAAUCAAAGCUGAAAGAGAGGAAACUUGGACACAUUCCGUUGUUGAUGUAGUAGCCCUACCUUUAACCUAAUCACUUGAAGUUGGAGUCGCACCCAAAUCUAACGACACUCUAAAACCUGGCUUGCGUUUGAAGUGGCUUCAAUCUCAUGCAUUGAAAAACUAGCGAGAUGCCCCUUUCCACCAGGUAGAGAGUGAAGAAUCCUUCUUCCCAAAAUCCAUAGACGAAUCUUUUUUCUUUUGUGGACAAUGAGAAUCUCAAUGGCUGUGCUCAAAACAAAAAUGAUAAUGAUUUUGUAUCCAUACCUUGUCUUCUUUUCCAAUAUUCGAUUUCUUUAGGCAACCCUUUAUCUAAGUCUAUCUCUACACAUAUCUGGCUGAAAGUGUUAAUGAGUGCAAUCUGAAGUUUUCGUGGUCACCUCCAAAGAGUAGCCUAAUGAAUUCCCAAUAGCCUUAGAGCACAAAUUACACCUAUACGGAAGAGGUAAAUAAGGUAGGCGCACCCAAACAAGUAUUAGAGGAGAAGGAAUCCAUUCGAGGAUUCAAGGCUUAAAUUUUAGUCCUCCCAAAACGACGGCCUCAAUUUGGAAUAGGUAGCUAUUCUAUCUUCAGUAGACACGAACUCAACAAUAAAGGAUUCCUAUGCAUACAAGACAUCAUUUUUCUCUACUAGUAGAGGCAUCCAUAAUUUGAGAUCUACUUAUGUAAAUUUUUUGGUAGGGUAUCCCACUUAAGGUAUUUCGACUUCAUUUUUUUACACCCUUUUUAGGCAACUUAUUUGUUUUGAUCAAGAGAUAAUUUGGGGACAUGAUCUACUUUCUUUAUAGAAUCCCCAUGUCUUCUAAAUUUGACCUUUACAUCCAACCCAGACAUGUUCAAGGUAAUAGGGGCAAGAAUAGAGAAAUCACGGCGGUUCACAAUAGAGAAAUCAUUUUGAAUUUUUUUUAUUUUUUUAUUUUUUUAUUUGGAGUAACUCGUAGUUUUAGAAGAAAUCAUGGCCUUAUUUUUAGAAUAAUCUAUUGUACAAGGAGUAACCUCAUUUGGUUGUCAUAUCUUUAAGUUAUAGCUCUACAUUGCCACAAGUCAAAUAUUUGCUAUCAAAGCAUGGCUUAGUUGUUGAUCAUUCAUACAUGAUAUAUAGUUUGAAAGGGCACGAAUGCAAAAUGUGAUAUCUUUAUUUAAAUUUGGUGGUUGUCAAAUUUAUAAUGCAACCAAUAGAAAUUGCAUUAUGUCUCAACCUAGCAAACCUUAAAUUUGCUUCAUAAUAGAGGGCAAACUUUCCAUGUUUAUCUUUA